rnacentral:tRNA from 1 species
GGAUUGUGGCUCAGUGGUAGAGUGCUUGCGUGGCAUGUGUGAGGCCCUGGGUUCAAUCCUCAGCACCA